AUGAACGCUGGCGGCGUGCCUCAUACAUGCCAGUCGAGCGCACAGACGAGGAGCUUGCUCCUCUGACGUUAGCGGCGGACGGGUGAGUAACACGUGGAUAACCUACCUAUAAGACUGGGAUAACUUCGGGAAACCGGAGCUAAUACCGGAUAAUAUAUUGAACCGCAUGGUUCAAUAGUGAAAGACGGUUUUGCUGUCACUUAUAGAUGGAUCCGCGCCGCAUUAGCUAGUUGGUAAGGUAACGGCUUACCAAGGCGACGAUGCGUAGCCGACCUGAGAGGGUGAUCGGCCACACUGGAACUGAGACACGGUCCAGACUCCUACGGGAGGCAGCAGUAGGGAAUCUUCCGCAAUGGGCGAAAGCCUGACGGAGCAACGCCGCGUGAGUGAUGAAGGUCUUCGGAUCGUAAAACUCUGUUAUUAGGGAAGAACAAAUGUGUAAGUAACUAUGCACGUCUUGACGGUACCUAAUCAGAAAGCCACGGCUAACUACGUG
rnacentral:rRNA from 1 species